rnacentral:snoRNA from 1 species
ACGACUUUAAUUGAACAGAUCUGUUCUACAGGUUGUAUAUCCUUUCUCACUGACACAAUGGAGACAUGCACAUCAAUCUGGACAAUGACCUAAUGCCAUGUGUCCAGACCAGAGUGUGAUUACUGGCUGUGGACUCAUAGGCUCCAUUAGCUAUAGAGGAAUGCUCUUACCAAGCCAUCAACGGCUGGUGAGAUGGCUGCAUGCAGUCCGACAGAUC